rnacentral:rRNA from 1 species
AACGAACGCUGGCGGCAUGCCUAACACAUGCAAGUCGAACGAGACCUUCGGGUCUAUUGGCGCACGGGUGCGUAACGCGUGGGAACCUGCCCUUAGGUUCGGAAUAACUCCCCGAAAGGGGUGCUAAUACCGGAUAAUGUCUUCGGACCAAAGAUUUAUCGCCUUUGGAUGGGGCCGCGUUGGAUUAGCUAGUUGGUAGGGUAAAAGCCUACCAAGGCGACGAUCCAUAGCUGGUCUGAGAGGAUGAUCAGCCACACUGGGACUGAGACACGGCCCAGACUCCUACGGGAAGCAGCAGUGGGGAAUAUUGGACACUGGGCGAAAGCCUGAUCCAGCAAUGCCGCGUGAGUGAUGAAGGCCUUAGGGUUGUAAAGCUCUUUUACACGGGAUGAUAAUGACAGUACCGGGAGAAUAAGCUCCGGCUAACUCCAUG